AUGGACAUGUUGGACAUGUUAUUACAACAAACAGACUGUCGACAUUCCGAGAGAGAGGCAUAUUACUACUACCUCACUGACUUUCCUCCAAGACAAGAGACAGGAUGCUACAGUGAGGUGAAUAUCUUGGUUCUCAGUGAGGUUACUACCAAAUCUGUCUCUAUGAAACUGCGGCGCAAGACAGUCCUGAGAAGCAGAAGGCUUCAACAGCAAGAGCAUGUGAAGGACUCUGUGGUGCUGAGUGACACUGACUCUAGUGUGGAGGAUAUAAAAGACAAUGUGUCUGUUAUUCGUGAUAUGAAGCGGCCAGUAAGGAAGAGUAGAGCUGGUGCAUCAUGUAGAGCGAGAAAAGAAUAUGAGAGACAGCUUUCUGAUGUGGAACCACAGCAUGGAGCGGUUCAGAAGAUCUCCCUGGCUCCAGAUGCAAUCGCUGAGGACACUCUAGGGAAACUCAGGCUGAGGGCUAACACCUCUGAGACCAAGACUGAGGUUGAGUCUCGAGGAGAGCUUGAGUCUGUUUUGGAAGAAUCCAGUACCGAUCUCAUGGUGGAAUCGGGUCCCAGCUCGCCCUCUUGUCAUGUUUAUACUGUAAGAUGCAGAGAAUGCCAGAGACUUUUCGCCAAGAUGAGAAAACAGCCGACCCCAAAACAGAAAAGCAAAGAUACAAAUCCAGCAUCUUUAUCUUGUGAUGUGUGGGUUCUGCUUAAGAAGUGGCACCCUCAGAGACGCCACCAUCGGGAGAAGGGAUUAUUGUGGACAAGCCUGAGUCGGAUCAGGAAGCUGUUAGCAGGAGGCUCUGAUUCUUCAGUCGUCAACACAGCUCAAGCAAACUGCUCCAGACCUCAUGUGUUUCAGCAGAGAAAUUUGCGUCGCUGCAAGGAUCUGCUCUCCAUUCAGACCAACCUGUCCAUUAACAAAGCCAAACCACGGCAUCGUAAGAGGUCACGAUCUGUGGUCUGGCCGCCCAUCGCUGGCUGGCAGUCUUCUGUGAAAAGGAAGCCUUCCUUGAACAGCACAUUAUCUCAGCAGCUUUAUCCACUCGACCUUAGUGUGAAGCAGAAGGACAAACUUCUUGUAGAUGACAAGAUUUCAAGAUUAAAUGCAGAUUUGAAGCAGAACUCAGAGGUCUCUAGCAAACAGAGGACGACUUAUGUCCGGGGUAAAUCGAACAAGCAGGAAGUGUCUGAUGGCAUAGACGGAACGCGGCGGGUGCUGAAGUUUGAUGACACCACUAAAACUGUUGCUGUGGAAACAGCGGAACAGAGGAAAAGCCCUCGGCAGAAGCACAAACGUGGAGAGAUUCGUGAAGCUCAGAAUGGUUUCCAGAAUGAGCAGCAGGAAGAGAUUUCUGAGGAUUUGGAUGGGUUCAGGACACCCACAGAUCUGUUCAGCGUGAAGCCCAAGAUUAAACGAGGGAACCAGAAGAAAGUGUCUGCGUCUGGUGUUACAAAACCUGCCGUACAGAAGCCCAACUUCAUGUCAAUGUUAUCCACACUGGUGAAGAAUCAGAACCAGAUUAUUAAGGAAUCCUGCAAAUGA
ensembl:lncRNA